rnacentral:rRNA from 1 species
AGAGUUUGAUCCUGGCUCAGAGUGAACGCUGGCGGCGUGCCUAAUACAUGCAAGUCGAACGAUGAAAUUUCUAGCUUGCUAGAAAUGGAUUAGUGGCGCACGGGUGAGUAACGCAUAGGUUAUGUGCCUCUUAGUUUGGGAUAGCCAUUGGAAACGAUGAUUAAUACCAGAUACUCCCUACGGGGGAAAGAUUUAUCGCUAAGAGAUCAGCCUAUGUCCUAUCAGCUUGUUGGUAAGGUAAUGGCUUACCAAGGCUAUGACGGGUAUCCGGCCUGAGAGGGUGAACGGACACACUGGAACUGAGACACGGUCCAGACUCCUACGGGAGGCAGCAGUAGGGAAUAUUGCUCAAUGGGGGAAACCCUGAAGCAGCAACGCCGCGUGGAGGAUGAAGGUUUUAGGAUUGUAAACUCCUUUUGUUAGAGAAGAUAAUGACGGUAUCUAACGAAUAAGCACCGGCUAACUCCGUGCCAGCAGCCGCGGUAAUACGGAGGGUGCAAGCGUUACUCGGAAUCACUGGGCGUAAAGAGCGCGUAGGCGGGAUAGUCAGUCAGGUGUGAAAUCCUAUGGCUUAACCAUAGAACUGCAUUUGAAACUACUAUUCUAGAGUGUGGGAGAGGUAGGUGGAAUUCUUGGUGUAGGGGUAAAAUCCGUAGAGAUCAAGAGGAAUACUCAUUGCGAAGGCGACCUGCUGGAACAUUACUGACGCUGAUUGCGCGAAAGCGUGGGGAGCAAACAGGAUUAGAUACCCUGGUAGUCCACGCCCUAAACGAUGGAUGCUAGUUGUUGGAGGGCUUAGUCUCUCCAGUAAUGCAGCUAACGCAUUAAGCAUCCCGCCUGGGGAGUACGGUCGCAAGAUUAAAACUCAAAGGAAUAGACGGGGACCCGCACAAGCGGUGGAGCAUGUGGUUUAAUUCGAAGAUACACGAAGAACCUUACCUAGGCUUGACAUUGAGAGAAUCCGCUAGAAAUAGUGGAGUGUCUAGCUUGCUAGACCUUGAAAACAGGUGCUGCACGGCUGUCGUCAGCUCGUGUCGUGAGAUGUUGGGUUAAGUCCCGCAACGAGCGCAACCCCCUUUCUUAGUUGCUAACAGGUCAUGCUGAGAACUCUAAGGAUACUGCCUCCGUAAGGAGGAGGAAGGUGGGGACGACGUCAAGUCAUCAUGGCCCUUACGCCUAGGGCUACACACGUGCUACAAUGGGGUGCACAAAGAGAAGCAAUACUGCGAAGUGGAGCCAAUCUUCAAAACACCUCUCAGUUCGGAUUGUAGGCUGCAACUCGCCUGCAUGAAGCUGGAAUCGCUAGUAAUCGCAAAUCAGCCAUGUUGCGGUGAAUACGUUCCCGGGUCUUGUACUCACCGCCCGUCACACCAUGGGAGUUGUGUUUGCCUUAAGUCAGGAUGCUAAAUUAGCUACUGCCCACGGCACACACAGCGACUGGGGUGAAGUCGUAACAAGGUAACCGUAGGUGAACCUGCGGUUG